GUGGGGAAUCUUGCGCAAUGGGCGAAAGCCUGACGCAGCCAUGCCGCGUGAAUGAUGAAGGUCUUAGGAUUGUAAAAUUCUUUCACCGGGGACGAUAAUGACGGUACCCGGAGAAGAAGCCCCGGCUAACUUCGUGCCAGCAGCCGCGGUAAUACGAAGGGGGCUAGCGUUGCUCGGAUUUACUGGGCGUAAAGGGCGCGUAGGCGGACAUUUAAGUCAGGGGUGAAAUCCCGGGGCUCAACCUCGGAACUGCCUUUGAUACUGGGUGUCUUGAGUAUGAGAGAGGUGUGUGGAACUCCGAGUGUAGAGGUGAAAUUCGUAGAUAUUCGGAAGAACACCAGUGGCGAAGGCGACACACUGGCUCAUUACUGACGCUGAGGCGCGAAAGCGUGGGGAGCAAACAGGAUUAGAAACCCUGGUAGUCC
rnacentral:rRNA from 1 species